rnacentral:rRNA from 1 species
UACGGAGGGGGCGAGCGUUGUCCGAAGUUACUGGGCGUAAAGCGCGCGUAGGCGGGUCGGAAAGUCCGCUGUGAAAGCCCGAGGCUUAACCUCGGCGGGUCGGUGGAUACUGUCGGUCUUGAAGGUGCUAGGGGGAGAUGGAAUUACCGGUGUAGCGGUGAAAUGCGUAGAUAUCGGUAGGAACACCAGUGGCGAAGGCGGUCUCCUGGGGCAUUCUUGACGCUGAGGCGCGAAAGCUGGGGGAGCGAACGGG